AGCGAAGCCAACAUGGGGUAAUGUGAAGCGCCGCAUGUCUCUCUUCCCUCUCCUCCGCACGCUUCGCCCAAUCCACACGCUCCAUAAAUGAGAAUUAAAAAAACCCAAACACACCAUAUACGCAACACGAGAGAGAGAGAGAGAGAGAGAGGAGAGAGGGAGAUUCAAUAGUAGUAGUAGAAUAGAUGGCAAGCCGAGAGGGAUAAUAGAAAGAGAGAGGGAGAGAGCGAGGAAUGCUGGUGGCUAUAAACAAAAAGGGAAAUCAGGAAAACAUUUUGUAUGGGUGGGAGUGGAACGCUAGUGGACGGUAUUCGUCGAUGGUUUCAACGCCGAACCAACCAUAACAAUCAUGAUCACAUUAAUAAUAUUAACAAAACUACUUCUUCUAAUGUUAGUAGUAGUGGUUGUCCACAAUCAUCGGUAAAUGUAAAGGAGGGAAUAAAGGGGACAGAGGAAGAGCAGCUGACUGUGAUUGAGGAUUUUGAUAUUUCUGAUCUUAAACUUAUUAGAGUUCCUAAACGCUUCCAUUUCCCUCCUGGUUCUACCAUGGGUCUUCAGAAGAAGGGCUCGGCAGAGGCAGAUUUCUUCACCGAGUAUGGAGAGGCUAGUCAAUACCAAGUACAAGAAGUCAUUGGAAAAGGUAGUUAUGGUGUUGUUGGCUCUGCAAUUGACUCUCAUACUGGAGAAAGGGUUGCAAUCAAGAAGAUUAAUGAUGUUUUUGAGCAUGUUUCUGAUGCCACACGUAUUCUGAGAGAAAUUAAACUCCUUCGGUUGCUUCGUCAUCCUGAUAUUGUAGAAAUAAAGCAUAUCAUGCUUCCUCCUUCACGCAGGGAAUUCAAAGAUAUCUAUGUUGUUUUUGAGUUGAUGGAAUCUGACCUUCACCAAGUAAUUAAGGCAAAUGAUGAUCUUACACCCGAGCAUUAUCAAUUUUUCUUGUACCAGCUUCUUCGUGGUCUUAAAUAUAUACAUACAGCAAAUGUGUUUCAUCGAGAUUUAAAGCCAAAAAACAUUCUUGCUAAUGCCGACUGCAAACUGAAGAUAUGCGAUUUUGGUCUUGCUAGAGUAUCUUUCAAUGAUGCCCCAUCAGCUAUUCUUUGGACAGACUAUGUAGCUACUAGAUGGUAUCGUGCUCCUGAACUCUGUGGCUCUUUUUUCUCCAAAUACACUCCUGCAAUUGAUAUUUGGAGCAUUGGAUGUAUAUUUGCUGAAAUGCUCACAGGAAAACCACUUUUUCCUGGUAAAAACGUGGUUCACCAGUUGGAUCUUAUGACUGAUUUGCUGGGCACUCCACCUCCUGAAUCUAUUUCAAAGAUUCGGAAUGAAAAGGCAAGGAGGUAUCUUAGUAACAUGCGGAAGAAACCACCAGUUCCAUUCCCUCAAAAGUUCCCUAAUGUAGAUCCAUUGGCUCUUCGCCUACUGGAGGGCCUGCUUGCAUUUGAUCCUAAAGAUCGUCCGACAGCUGAAGAGGCUUUAGCAAAUCCUUACUUUAAUGGUUUGUCAAAUGUCGAGUGUGAGCCCUCCACUCAACCUAUUUCAAAAUUGGAGUUUGAGUUUGAGAGGAGGAAAAUAACAAAAGAUGAUGUAAGGGAACUGAUCUACCGAGAGAUACUAGAGUAUCACCCGCAGAUGCUGAAGGAGUACCUUCGAGGUGGAGAGCAGACAAGCUUUAUGUACCCAAGUGGCGUUGAUCGAUUCAAGCGACAAUUUGCACAUCUUGAGGAGCACUAUGGUAAAGGGGAAAGAAGCACUCCACUCCAAAGACAGCAUGCUUCCUUGCCUAGAGAGCGGGUUCCUGCUCCCAAGGAUGAGACAGCAGCUCAAAGCACUGAUAUUGAGAGGCAAACUGCACCAUCUAUUGCAAAAUCUCUUAAAAGUCUCCCAGGAUUGCAGCAAGCAGAUGGUUCAGAGGAUGUGACAGUCGCUGCACAAAAUGGAUCUAGCAAGCCAAACUACAGUAACCGAAGCCUAUUGAAGAGUUCCAGCAUCAGUGCCUCCAAAUGUGUGGUUGUGAAACCAAAAGGAGAUUCAGAAAGAGCCGCUUCACUUCACCUUCACACACAAACACAGCCUAAAAUGGAUCAUGUAAUUGUGCUCAAUGCAAGGAUGCUGGGUCAAUCUUCAAAGUUCUGCACCCACCACCUAAAGGGACUAUCCACGUUCUGGUCUUUUACUUUAGGCAAAAGAAACAGCUACCUAAAAGGAGUUGCGGCUGCAAUCUUUCAUCACAUGGGUCAUGGAGCUCUGUUGGACACCAUUUCUGCUGUAAGAAACAAAAAAGGACUCUUUGGUAUUGCUGAGGGUAUGUACCCAGGAAGUUUGUGUACUGUAGCAAUAAAGGAGCACUUAUGGUUGGGUAAUCUUUGCCGCUAAGAUCUAUCCCUUGAGGUGCUGUUUUCUGUAAUUUUGAGCAUCAUGUUAGUGAUCAUGGAGUGGCUGCUUAAGUUUCUGGUGAUUAUGCGAUGGUUAUCAGGCUUUCAGCCACAACCCUAAAUCCUAAUAGUGAACCCACAAGGAUCAAGCUUGCUUCUGGUUCCUAAAAGAUUUUUCUAAGGCACUGGCAUGAAAUGAUUGGAGACAAGUUGCAGGUGGAGGAAGGACUGAGAGACCCUGCUAAGGCUGGUAAUGCUUGCCAAUUUAGAGUAAAGACCUAAAGUGCAUGGUGUGGCUAUGUACCUAGUUGAACAUUCUUGUGAAGGAGAUGAUCAUCAACACAUUGGACAUGUUUCAUUGCUACAAUGAGGACUAGUCGGCUUAGGGGACUGGCUGCUGCUAGUGCUGCUAAGGAGAUGAUUAAAGAGGUCAGUGAUGAGGAUGUCAACGACUUGUCUCAGAAGGUUGCAACCUUGUAGAGAUUCAGGUGGCUGAAUCUGGCAACCUGCCCGUUUUCCAGCGUAGUGUGGAUAGUGGGUACUUCACAAUGACCUACACGGAAG